AGUGUUUAAUAGGAGCAAAAGGCUUUAUAGACCUACAUAAACGACUUAAGGGUGGCCUCAUGGUAUUUUCUCUGUGCAGUGCAGGAGCUCAGAUAUGCUGAGUUUGCUGAAGCCCUUCACAGAAUGUAACAGUCCUGCACAAGCGGUCUACAGAACUUGCAAAAGACUUACAGAAGCACCAUCACUUGAUCCGGGAUCAGAUAAAUGAAAUCCGUCAAAUUGAGGUGGACAUUGACAUCAAAGGAUCAUACAAGCAAACCUUUGACCAUGCCGUUGAUAACGAAGCCUUCAAAGCUAUGGAGAACAAAAUGGAGGAGUUCAGCAUUAUCUCAAAGAGGCAAAAAUCAUUCUCCAAAAACAACAAACUAAACUUCAGUCUGUUGAUCGGCCCAGUCUGUCCCCCUCUUACUGGAAAAAUUCCCAUUGUUCGCACUGAGCUGCUUACAAAGUUUGAAGACAUUGAGCAGCAUCAGGUGGUUUUAGAUGAACUCCUGGAAGAUAUUUAAUCAGAUUUAUAUCUAGAUUAGUAAUAUGGGUUAUUAUUGUUAUCUGACACUGUGUUUGGUUUAGUAGCAUAUGAGUAGUUUAUUGAAAAAUACUGCCCUUAUUUCUUGUGGCUUAUUUGUUAUCUAUUUACUACAUAUUUAUUUAAAGACCACUGUGUGCAAAAUCACGUUUACAGUUUCACCUUCUUUUUUUACUGUAUACAUCUAACUUAUGUCCAGUAUUCCAGGUAUACUGUUAGAGGCUACAAAAAAUAGUACUAUGGCUGUGCCUUAGUUGCAAAUGUGAAUGAGAGACUGUACAAAAUGCCAUUUCACGAACAAGCAGGUAUCAGCCUGUCAAACACAAUGUA